rnacentral:lncRNA from 1 species
UGAAGAAUUCUUCUUGAAAAAUUUGCCAUAAAAUUCACAUGUGGAAAUAUGAUCAAGGAAGUCUCUUUUUUAGAUUAAACUUGUUGCCCACAUGCUUUGAAUUUGUUUUGAAUUUCAGUAAGAAUCUACAUGUGAAUUAGAUUGGAAAAAAGAGAAGAAGUGAGAUUCUAAGUCAGAUUCAAAAGUAUAUUUUCCCCCUAAGUGCACCAACUUGUUGCUGUGUGCACGUGGCGCGUGCUAGAGACCUCCUCGUGCGUGCGAUUUGUGCACGUGUGUGGUAAUAGUUGUAUGCAUAAGUGCACCCUGUACGUGUUAUGUUGUGUGCAAGAGCUAUUUUNNN